rnacentral:lncRNA from 1 species
UUGCUUUGCCAGAACACUUUUAUUAGCCUAGAGUAGGCAAAAUCAUCUAACACAAUGCCUAUUUUAUAAUAAAGUAUUGGAUAUCUCAUGUAAGUUAUUGAACACUAACAGUGAAAACUAAAAUUGUUGUGUGGGUACUUGCAGUACGGUUUCUACUGAAUGCAUGUGCCUUUAUGCCAUCUUAAAUUUAAAAAUCCCAAGUCAGACCAUCGUUAAGUCAGAGAGUGUAUAUUGUAAAUAUGUAAGACAUAAUUAUCGUAUUCAGUGGUUCAUUAGAUGACUAAUUUUAAAAGCUUAGGUUUUUUUUUUUAUUUUUUCCUUUAAAGAUGGAGUCUCGCUUUGUCAUCCGGGCUGGAUGUGGUGCGAUCAUAGCUCUGCCUACUCGAACUCCUGGGCUCAAGCGAUCCUCCUGCUUCAUCCUCGCAAGUACCUGGGACUACAGGCACAUGCCACCACACCCAGCUGAGAGCUUAUUUUGUUGGAUACUAGACAUAUGAAGUACUGAAAUACAAAGGGAUUAGGACUGCAAACAAGUUUAUAAGUGAUGAUUGGGCUUUGUGGUGUGCAUGGCUGGAUGGUGAUUGAAUGAAGACAAAAAAAAACAGUAAGGUGAAGACACAAUAUUAUUUUCAAGACUUUAUUUUUAUAUUUUAAAUGUUUUGACCUUAUUAAAUAUUUACUUGCUUUCUAAGCUUUCCCUUCUAUUCUUCUCUCCACACCACCUUCAUGAAGAAAAGUUGACAAAUUUUUUUUUCAGAUUUUUUUUCUUAAUGUUUCAAAAAGUAUCUUGAUUAGUAAAAUAGCCAAAAAACUAGAAACUUUUAAUUAUAGUGUAGUCAUUUCCCCAACAUCUUUCUGGCACUUGACAUCUGAGUAUCUGUAGUGAAGCCAAGUUAGUUCCAUUGGAAAAUUCUCUGAUGUUCUCCUUCCUAAUCCUAUUUUCUUUGAGCCACAACCUGGCCAGGUUAGGGAGCACAUGAGAUUUGGCUUUCCAACUUUCUAUUUCUUUCUGCCUUGACUUAAUCAAUUGGGAGUUGAGGAAAAUAAACUGUGCUUAAUGAAUAACAGAAAUUGCUAAAUACUUGGAACCUUGUGAUGCAUUUUCCAAGAAGCUAUGGGGUGAAAGAAUUAGGGAAUAAAAUGCAGGGAACUCAGCAGAGAAUAAAUAUCAUGGAAAGAAAGAGUGACAAUAUUGGCCAGACAUUUCAGUUCUUUUUAGUAACACUUUCUGAUAUGGUUUGACUGUGUCACCACUCAAAUGUCACCUGGAAUUAUAAUUUCCAUAAUCCCUACCUGUUGUGGAAGGGACUCAGUGAGAAGUAAUUGAGUCUUGGGGGCAGUUACCCACAUGCUGCUCUUGUCAUGAUAGUGAGUGAGUUCUCAUGAGAUCUGAUGGUUUUAUAAGGGGUUUUCCCCCUUUUGCUCAGC